UACGUAUGGUGCAAGCGUUAUCCGGAUUUACUGGGUGUAAAGGGAGCGCAGGCGGCACGGCAAGCCUGAUGUGAAAGCCCGCGGCCCAACCGCGGGACUGCAUUGGGAACUACCGGGCUGGAGUGCCGGAGAGGUAGGCGGAAUUCCUAGUGUAACGGUGAAAUGCGUAGAUAUUAGGAGGAACACCAGUGGCGAAGGCGGCUCUCUGGUCUGUAACUGACGCUGAGGUUCGAAAGCGUGGGUAGCAAACAGG
rnacentral:rRNA from 1 species